UUAAACUUAGAGCUGAGAAUUCAUUAACAGCAUUUGUUUGAGAAUUGAUUAAUUGCUUCUGUUUCAUAAUUGGUUAAUGCUUCUGAAACUUGGAGUUGAGAAUUGAUUAAUAGCUUUUGAAAUUUACUUUUAAAAUGGUGCUUUGUAAGACUAUGAUUAGUUGAGUGAAAAUUCCUUUUUUCAGUUUAUCCGAAAGAAACUAUUAGUUUAGUGAUCAUUUGAGAAAUCUUCUCAAUCUAGCAUAUUCUACGCCAUCUUUUGACUAGUGUGAGAAACAUAUCUUCUUCAAUUAUUGUAGAAACUCAUCUUAUGGAUGUAAAAUGGAUACGCGGG
rnacentral:lncRNA from 1 species